UCUCCGUUGGUGAACCAGCGGAGGGAUCAUUACCGAGUUUACAACUCCCAAACCCCUGUGAACUUAUACCUUUACUGUUGCUUCGGCGGGUUAUUGCCCCGGGGAAACAGGCGGCCGUCAGAUCCCUGCCCACCCGGAAACAGGCGCCCGCCGGGGGACUCAAACUCUUCUGUAUUUUUUUGUUUACUGUAUACUGUCUGAGUAAAAAUUCAUAAUGAAUCAAAACUUUCAACAACGGAUCUCUUGGUUCUG
rnacentral:misc_RNA from 1 species